AGAGUUUGAUCCUGGCUCAGAACGAACGCUGGCGGCAGGCCUAACACAUGCAAGUCGAACGUGAAGCCACCUUCGGGUGGUGGAAAGUGGCAGACGGGUGAGUAACGCGUGGGAACGUGCCUUUCGGUUCGGAAUAACCCAGGGAAACUUGGGCUAAUACCGGAUACGCCCUUCGGGGGAAAGAUUCAUCGCCGAAAGAUCGGCCCGCGUCGGAUUAGCUAGUUGGUAGGGUAAUGGCCUACCAAGGCGACGAUCCGUAGCUGGUCUGAGAGGAUGACCAGCCACACUGGGACUGAGACACGGCCCAGACUCCUACGGGAGGCAGCAGUGGGGAAUAUUGGACAAUGGGCGAAAGCCUGAUCCAGCCAUGCCGCGUGGGUGAAGAAGGCCUUAGGGUUGUAAACCCCUUUCAGCGGGGAAGAUAAUGACGGUACCCGCAGAAGAGCCCA
rnacentral:rRNA from 1 species